AGUGUCAUUUGGGCUAGCCCAUGGUUAAAGUGUUUUUGUUCAAUUGGGCUGGGCCCAUGGUCAAUGUCUGCCACUCUUCUUCUUCUUCUUCUUCUUGGCAAAGGCUACUCUGGUGUUUUUGUUGCCCAGAAAACCUCUGAAGAUAUAUUUUAAAAAUGAGAUUUUGUGAUUUUGAAGAAUGUACCUAAAUAUGUUGCUCGUUGUUCUUUUUUUUUUUUUUUCUCUGUUUUUGGUGAAAGAUUUUUGCAUUUGUAUUUGUAAUGGUAUGAAGAAAAAAACAAUUUAAUAAGAAGUUUUUUUUUUUUUUUUCCUUAAUGCUACAAAAUGGUUCAAUUUAUAUAUAUAUAUAUAUAUAUAGUAGUAGAAAGCAAACCAAGUUGAACAGGAAAUUUAGUCAUCAUUUAAGGAGUAAUUUGUAUUUUCUUUUCCCCUAAGAAUUACUAUAUUUUAGAUUGAUACUCCCUCAAUGUAUUGUUAUUAAUUCUAAACCAAUGUGAACCCGGGCAGAUUUUUUUGUCAGCCAUUUUCCGAGUAAUGAGCCCUUAGUGUGUGGUCAUGGCUACAGGAAGCACAGAGCUAUGCAUUAUUGAAGAUGGAGAGAGAAAGAGAGAGAGAGAGAGAGUGAUGAAACACCUAAGAAAUUAUGUAGGUCCUUAUAAUCUUAUUUGUCCAUUCAUAUUGUGGAAUAGAAAACAUGCUGUAACAAGGUAUAGAUCAUAAUUGAAUUCUGUAAUGGACGGAGUUAGAGUGGUGCAGAAUUUCAUAUUUUAUGUUUUGCGUUAAAUGCAAUGGUGAUUUGAUUUGUGUUUGAUCUUAUAUAGUUAUAUUAUAUGCCUUUUAACCCUCUAUGUGAAAAAAACAAAAGAUAAUGGAGAAGAUUAUUUGGUAAAAACUACUGGAGUAAAGGACAAAUCCCUCAAGAUAAAGUGUGUUGGAGUUAAAAUGGGGUCAUGUUCUCUAGAGAAUAUUGGAUAUAAUCAUCCCUUAAUCUUGUUUUCAAAUUUGUGUAUGAAGAGAGAUGAAUUAUCUGAACAUUACAAACCACUUUUUUUCUUUUUCUUUUUUCUUCCCUUUUUUUUUUUUUUUUUUUUCGUCUUUUAUCAAUUGGUUUCCAAUAAUGUUAUACUUAUUUUGCCAGUUUGUGCACUGGAGUAAUAAGUUUUCAUCAAGUAUUUAUAUUUUGCAGGCUCUUUUCUUGUGGGACAAGUAAAAGAAGUUACAGGCAUCUUUUGCGCAUCGCAUACGGCUCUACAAUGAAAGUGAAGGGUGUGUGAAGAAAGGACCUAUCAAGAAUUCCACAAAUAUUCCUUCGAGGGUGUUCUGCAAUUUGAUACAACUAAAAACCAAUAUUCAACUGCAAGACAAUGACAACUUUCAUGCCACCUCCAACCUUCAGCAACAUCUGAUUUGUCAUGGAGGAUUCCACAAUUCAGAUUACACACAAAUGUUGGUGUAGAUGAUGAGUUAUGGUCUAUUUUCAUGGAGGACAUUUGAUCUGUGCUGCUGCUCAUCAGUUGAGAUACGCUUGCUGUUUACUUGCUAUUUUCUUUUAAUGCAGGUAUAAUAGCAAGCUGUAAAAGGCCACCCCAAAAGGAUAACUGGCUUAUUUAAUAAAACACAGUUCAAGCCAAUAAAAUAAUAACGUGUACAUAUAUUAAUGAAAUCCAAUUCAAGUCAAAAGUAUCUUAUAGCGUUUUUUGAUAAAUCGGUUUAUCUUAUGGUUAAUUAAACUUGAUUUAAGGAAAUGAAGAAAUAUUUCAAUAUC